rnacentral:lncRNA from 1 species
AAAUCAUAUUGGUAAUUAUAAAGCAGUAUAUCCAUACUGUACAAUAGAUAUAUUGACAUAGCUUACUUUUGUGUUGUGUAUCCCCUGACUACUUAAUGGACUAGGCCAGUUUGUACUUUGGUGUAGGUAAAAUGUAUUAAACAAGAUGUUUGACAGGGGGAGUGUUUUAAACUUUAUGUCAUAUACCAUGUUGACAUUAAUGUGAUAUUAUAAAGGACACAUUCACAUUCAAUGAACU